rnacentral:tRNA from 1 species
GAGCCGGUAGCUCAGUUGGUAGAGCAACGGACUUUUAAUCCGUGGGUCGCGGGUUCGAGCCCCGCCCGGCUCA